rnacentral:rRNA from 1 species
UACGAAGGGGGCUAGCGUUGCCCGGAAUCACUGGGCGUAAAGCGCACGUAGGCGGAUUGCUAAGUCAGGGGUGAAAUCCUGGAGCUCAACUCCAGAACUGCCUUUGAUACUGAAGAUCUUGAGUUCGGGAGAGGUGAGUGGAACUGCGAGUGUAGAGGUGAAAUUCGUAGAUAUUCGGAAGAACACCAGUGGCGAAGGCGGCUCACUGGACCGGCAUUGACGCUGAGGUGCGAAAGCGUGGGGAGCAAACAGG